GCCUUCGUGAUGCAGUGGUGAGCACGCUCGACGCGUAUUCAAGAGAUCCGUGGUUCGAGUCCCGGUGGGAGCA
rnacentral:tRNA from 1 species